CUUUGCUUACCACCAGUUUCACUUUAGAAGUAGAAACAAAGGAUCAAGGGAGUGUGUAAGGCGUAUUUGGGAGCGGUUCGGGACAGGUAGGGCAAGUCCCAACAGAACAUAUGAAACCGCUGCAGAGCUGAGCAACCUGAGCUCUUGGACCCGUUCUUACAUGCACACUCGUGGCUACUUGUCGACUUUGUAAUAUGUUCUACAUCAUCAAACAACACUUAUUUGCCAGUAUAUUUAUUGUAUAAAAAUUAGGGCCGGGACUCGAUUAAAAAUAUUAAUCUAAUUAAUUAGAGGCUUUGUAAUUAAUUAAUCGCAUUCUAAUUGCAUAAAUAUUUGACCUGAGAACAGUGAGAAGUAAUUUUUUUCACAUGGAUUUUUAUUUUUGUCAACCAAUUCCAGCAGAGUGUGUUGUGUUGUGGAUUCCAGCCUGAGAAUCUAUGAGAAUUGAGGUUGGAUUCAAAAGCAUCAACAGGUGUGUGGUGGAACAGUGCAGGGAGAUAGCAGGAAGGCUGAAGUGUGGAGGAUCCUCAGUUCAAACCUGCUCUCUCAGAAGGAGAGUUUGGUUGCAGUCAUGGCUUCAAACUGUAAACUUUGAAACAGUUUUGAGGUUUAGUAAACAAUCCCAAGGUCUAAUAUGAGAAACGGACACAAUGAGGCAUGUGCUUGAAUAGCACAAGGGAACAGCUGAAGGGCUGCAGGCUCCAACCUGCUGUCUGAGGUUGUGGGUUCAUGCCCCUUCAUGCAGACAUCACUUCUGCUUUUAAAGAGUUUUGAGGUUUGAGUAGCAGUCUCAAGGUUAAAUACGAGAAACAAAGGUUUGAUUAGUGUGUGGUGAAGUAGCACAGUGGAAGAGCUGCUGCCACAAGCCUGCACUGAACUUGAAGGUUGAUGGUUCAAGCCCAGAUGUGGAAAUAGCUUUUAAAAAGAGUUUUGAGGUCUAGCUCACAUGCUCAAGGUUAAAUACAACAAACAAAGGGUUGUUUAGUGUGUGGUGAAGUAGCACAGCGGAAGAGCUGCUGCACUGCACUUGAAGUUUGAUGGUUCAAGCCCAGAUGUGGAAAUAGCAUUUAAGAGAUUUUUAAAGUUUAACUCACAUGCUCAAGGUUAAAUAGGAGAAUCAAAGUUGCCAAAAUGUGACCAGGACUGGUAGUGUAGGGGUGCAAGCUAGAGCCCAGAAGCCUCUGUGCGCACCGCCAGUGGGUUCAAAUCCCGCUCGUGCCAAGUCUUGAGCACACUGCCGCGGAGGUAGUAGUGGGGGCAUUGUCCCCACGGUUGUUUCAGAGAAGUAAACUCUGGGGGUUAUGCAGAAACACAAGGCGCGUUCACUUGAGUUAUGAUGGCAUUGUCAAGAAUGAUGAAGAAUCUUUUGCUGAUGAAUUGAAUUUGAUGUUAAUUGCUUUGCUUUAGCCUUUUAGCACUUAUUAGCAGAGGUGGGAACAAGUCACUGUUAUGCAAGUCAUUGCCCUCGAGUCCCGAGUCAAGUCGAGUCAAAGACGAAGCAAGUCCCAAGUCGAGUCACAAGUCAAAGCCAACAAGUCUCAAGUCGAGUCACAAGUUGUACCAUUUUAGUUUCGAGUCAAUUCAAGUCAUUUAAUUGAAUCUUCUAGAAUCUUUUGCUGAUGAAUUGAAUUUGAUGUUAAUUGCUUUGCUUUAGCCUUUUAGCACUUAUUAGCCAUGCUACGUAGUGGAGAGAGAAGGCCGGAUGAGUCAGUAAAGAUGAGCAGAUGUGUCUCAUUCAGUGGUCACACUGACAUGAAACUUAUUACAGCCUCUGAGGGAGAGUUUGUCUACUUCAGGGCAUCCUGUGGACAACCUUAAACUGACAGUCUGGCACAGGGUGUAGAUUUGUUUACCCUUUUUAGUGCAUCCACCCUCCAAUUCUCUGUUACAUUCAAAUUCAACUCACUUGUGCCUUUACCAAUGCAGGAAGGAUGAAUAGCAUGGUUGAUCCUCCAAGAUGCACCAAUCCGUCUCUGGGGCAAUAUCCCAUUAUGAUUUUUUCUAAAUGUCAGUUACCCAAAACUAACAAAGGAUUUAGGAAGAGCCGCCAUGUCCCUUGAGGGUUGAACCCAGAUAAGGUUUAAAGUACAGAAAUUUGGGGCAUUUGGCAUUAGUGACAGGGACGUGUAGGUUGCUCCAUCUAAGAUCAUUCCAGUCAUGUCAUGGGAAAAAAAUAUUGUGAAAAAAGUCAAAAUAUG